AACGAACGCUGGCGGCAUGCCUAACACAUGCAAGUCGAACGAGACCUUCGGGUCUAGUGGCGCACGGGUGCGUAACGCGUGGGAACCUGCCCUUAGGUUCGGAAUAACUCCCCGAAAGGGGUGCUAAUACCGGAUAAUGUCUUCGGACCAAAGAUUUAUCGCCUUUGGAUGGGCCCGCGUUGGAUUAGCUAGUUGGUAGGGUAAAAGCCUACCAAGGCGACGAUCCAUAGCUGGUCUGAGAGGAUGAUCAGCCACACUGGGACUGAGACACGGCCCAGACUCCUACGGGGGGCAGCAGUGGGGAAUAUGGGACAAUGGGCGAAAGCCUGAUCCAGCAAUGCCGCGUGAGUGAUGAAGGCCUUAGGGUUGUAAAGCUCUUUUACCCGGGAUGAUAAUGACAGUACCGGGAGAAUAUGCUCCGGCUAACUCC
rnacentral:rRNA from 1 species